rnacentral:rRNA from 1 species
GAUGAACGCUGGCGGCGUGCCUAAUACAUGCAAGUCGUGCGGAGCGGAUCCCUUCGGGGUGACGCUUAGCGGCGAACGGGUGAGUAACACGUGGGCAACCUGCCCGCAAGACUGGGAUAACUCCGGGAAACCGGUGCUAAUACCAGAUAAUCCCUUUCCCCGCAUGGGGAAAGGGUGAAAGGCGGCUUCGGCUGUCACUUGCGGAUGGGCCCGCGGCGCAUUAGCUAGUUGGUGAGGUAACGGCUCACCAAGGCGACGAUGCGUAGCCGACCUGAGAGGGGGAUCGGCCACACUGGGACUGAGACACGGACCAGACUCCGACGGGAGGUAGCAGUAGGGAAUUUUCCGCAAUGGGCGCAAGCCUGACGGAGCAACGCCGCGUGAGUGAGGACGGCCUUCGGGUUGUAAAACUCUGUUCUUGAGGAAGAAACCUUCAGAGGCGAACAGCUUCUGAAGUUGACGGUACUCAAGGAGAAAGCCCCGGCUAACUACGUGCCAGCAGCCGCCGUAAUAC